UAUCCCCGGCAGCAGCUGCACAGUCAUGCUCUUUCCUCUUCACUAAAAACCUCUGAAAACGACAUUAAUCGUCGUUUGAUUUGAUACCUUUAAGAUACAUUAAGUUCUUCAAAGUUCAUCUGAGGUCACGCGGAUCAAAGACAGAACAGAAUGUCGCGCGGUUCGAACGCAGGCUUUGACCGACACAUCACCAUAUUCUCACCGGAGGGCCGCCUUUACCAAGUCGAGUAUGCCUUCAAAGCCAUCUCUCAGAGCGGGUUGACGUCUGUAGGGGUCCGGGGGACAGACAGCGUUGUGGUGGUCACACAGAAGAAAGUACCUGACAAGCUGCUGGACUCUUCCACUGUGACCAACAUGUUCAAACUAACUCCUCG